rnacentral:rRNA from 1 species
AUUGAACGCUGGCGGCAGGCUUAACACAUGCAAGUCGAACGAGUGGCGGACGGGUGAGUAAUGCUUGGGAAUCUGGCUUAUGGAGGGGGAUAACGACGGGAAACUGUCGCUAAUACCGCGUACCAUAGGAUGGGCCCAAGUGGGAUUAGGUAGUUGGUGGGGUAAUGGCCUACCAAGCCGACGAGCUCUAGCUGGUCUGCGAGGAUGACCAGCCACACCGGGACCGAGACAAGGCCCGGAAUCCUACGGGAGGCAGCAGUGGGGAAUAGUGCGCAAUGGACGAAAGUCUGACGGAGCCACGCCGGCUGAGUGAUGACGGCCUUCGGGUUGUAAAGCUUUGUUAGUCGGGAGACGGUAUCGGAAGAGAAAGCCACGGCUAACUACGUGCCAGCAGCCGCGGUAAUUC